CCAGCUCCAAUAGCGUAUAUUAAAGUUGUUGCAGUUAAAAAGCUCGUAGUUGGAUUUCUGGGAGGGCGCCAAUGUCCGCUUGUUCGCGUGCGCAGCGGCGCCCUUCCAUCCUUCUGUUAACGUUUCUUGGUAUUCAUUUACUGGUUUCGGGCUCAGAUAUUUUACCUUGAGAAAAUUAGAGUGUUCCAGGCAGGCUUGCGCCGGAAUACAUUAGCAUGGAAUAAUAGAAUAGGACUUUAGUCUCCUUUGUUGGUUUGAGGGACUGAAGUAAUGAUUAAUAGGGAUAGUUGGGGGCAUUAGUAUUUAAUUGUCAGAGGUGAAAUUCUCGGAUUUGUUAAAGACUAACUUAUGCGAAAGCAUUUGCCAAGGAUGUUUUCA
rnacentral:rRNA from 1 species